rnacentral:lncRNA from 1 species
AUGAUGUAUAGUGGGAUAAUAAUCUAUAAUAAUGUUUCUCUCUCUCUCUCUCUCUCUCUCUCUCUCUCUCAGCUGUCAGCUCCUGCACCAGCGUGUUGUGGGGUUCUCCAAAGACCCGUACCUGCUGGACACCGUGUCAGACCUCUCGAACGUGAUCGUAGAGGGAGUUCUGCAGGGCCUGUACCCCGCAGAUAUGUGCGUGAGCAUCACCUCCAGCAGCAAACUUCGUGGCCUCCGCAAGGGCAGCUUGUCUCCGCUGCCAGAGACCCAGCGCACGUGAGCGGUUUGGGAAGCCGGUCUGGAGACAUCCAACCGAUGACUGGAACCAGUGGUCGCCUCUGGAUCCAUAUGGAGACCUUAUCUGUGUCACCUGGCCUGUGUUGUGUGUAAUAGAGGGGAGCCACACCUGGACCAUCAGGAUCCACCUCUGCCAGGAGGUGUGGUGCUCUUGAGAUAUUAACCUGCUGUUGCUGUGGAACUAUUUAUCAACGGUUUCUCCUCCCAAAGCCCUCAUGUAGGGACACCUGCAUCUUUAACAGCAAAAGACCAGUGUGGCAUUUGCUGUUCACACCCAACAGGACCACAGUAAGGCUGCACAGGACCUGCAUCUCUCUGCAAAGCCUCAAAUAAGCUUCAGUUUUCAUAAGAAUUUGUUUGACCCAAACAGCUACUAGCUCAGUUCACACUUGUGUCUAUACCUGCGCUGUUUGGUUUUUUGAGAUGUUACAUAAACUCUACAGCUCAUCCUCUUUGCGGAUUUCGGGGGAAAAUUGUUAAUAUAAAACUUGCAUUGAGCUUUUUAGAUAUGUUAGUGUUGAGUUCUUUUGCAUCUGUAAUGUAUUUUGAGGCCAGUCCAAGUUAACAUAAAACUCCUGUGUUUCUAUGAAAUGAACCAGAGCAAGUCAAAAAUUAUCUGUAAUGUUAAACUUGUGGUGAAAGGCAAAAUUAUUGGAGGUGCUUUUUGACUUCCCCCUCAUAUAUUGUGCCUUGCUAAAUUAGAACCUUCUGCACUGUUGCCCUAAGCUGGUUAUCCAUCACAACAGGAACAGUUCAGGUUACACGCAAAACUUCCUUACCCAGGAAACUGGACUCUCCGCUGGACUUCUCCUACCAUUAAGGACCCGAAGAGAUCACGUAAGCUGUGGUGGCACCACCUCUUGCUCCUCAAUAUGGGACUUGGGCUUUCCUUACUCUGGUCUCUACUGACCGAAAGGGCGGCUCUCACAUUUGUGAGAUACGAUAUGAUGGUGGGCGGAGGUAGUUACUCCAUGCCCACACCACCACCUUAGAUGAAUUAAUGAAUUUCAAUAAAUUAAAGUUCAGGGUAUAGUUAAAGCCCCA